rnacentral:rRNA from 1 species
CAGCUCCUCGAGUGGUAGGGACGAUUAUUUGGCCUAAAGCGUUCGUAGCCGGCUUAGCAAGUCUUUCGUGAAAUCCGGCGACUCAAUCGUCGGGCGUGCGAAAAAUACUGUUAGGCUUGAGGGCGGGAGAAGUCGACGGUAUUCCUGGAGUAGGAGCGAAAUCUUAUAAUCCUUGUAGGACCACCAGUGGCGAAGGCGUCAGACUGGAACGCGCUCGACGGUGAGGGACGAAAGCUAGGGGAGCGAACCGGAUUAGAAACCCGGAUAGUCCUAGCUGUAAACGAUGCGGGCUAGGUGUUGGGGUGGCUACGGGCCACUUCAGUGCCGCAUGGAAGCAAUUAAGCCCGCCGCCUGGGGAGUACGGCCGCAAGGCUG